CAUGAACAGCACUGGUCUAGACGUAGACCCUGGAGAAUCAAGACUUGUCAAAGAAAGGGACUGGCCCUUUUUGGACUGUUAUAUUCUCCUGGAGCCACAUUCAAACUUCACAUUGUAGAGUUUUGU